rnacentral:rRNA from 1 species
GUGAAGACAUGAGAGGUGUAGCAUAAGUGGGAGGUCACAAGAUACGGCCUCCUUUCGACCCGGUCGUGGCCGCCAGUGAAAUACCACUACUCUCAUCGUUGUUUACUUACUCGGUGGAGUGUAUGGUUCUUCCGAAACUGAAACAUAAGCACGUAGUCACUCUUCUAAACCUCUCCACAGGAUCGCUCCGAG